rnacentral:rRNA from 1 species
GGUGAAGAAAGGGCCGGGCAAGACCGGUGCCAGCCGCCGCGGUAAUACCGGCGGCUCGAGUGGUGGCCACUAUUACUGGGCUUAAAGCGUUCGUAGCUGGUCUGUUAAGUCUCUGGGGAAAUCUACCGGCUUAACCAAUAGGCGUCUCAGGGAUACUGGCAGACUAGGGACCGGGAGAGGUGAGAGGUACUCCAGGGGUAGGAGUGAAAUCCUGUAAUCCUUGGGGGACCACCUGUGGCGAAGGCGUCUCACCAGAACGGCUCCAACAGUGAGGGACGAAAGCUGGGGGAGCAAACCGGAUUAAAUACCCGGGUAGUCCCAGCCGUAAACGAUGCGCGUUAGGUGUAUCGGUGACCACGAGUCACCGAGGUGCCGAACAGAAAUCGUGAAACGUGCCGCCUGGGAAGUACGGUCGCAAGGCUGAAACUUAAAGGAAUUGGCGGGGGAGCACCACAACAGGUGGAGCCUGCGGUUUAAUCGGACUCAACGCCGGAAAUCUCACCGGAUAAGACAGCUGGAUGAUAGUCGGGCUGAAGACUCUACUUGACUAGCUGAGAGGAGGUGCAUGGCCGUCGUCAGUU